UAGGUCACUUGCCUGAGGUCACAAAGCUGCGAGGUAAAGAGCUGAGCCUAGAACCCAGGCCUUCUCUCCCCAGUCCAAAGCUCUUUCUCUCUCCUCAUUUUCUUACCAAGGAAAGAACAGGGCUGAACACUGCAAAGUUCUGCAGGAGAGGAUGAGAGAGCAGAGACCAACCGCAUCCUCAGUGCACUUAGCACUUCAAGGCAUCCACCAAGCUGCCAGCAUCUAUCCCAGGGCCUGGUGCAGAGUGGGCAAGAAGAAGGUGGCAGAAGAACAAAGAGAAGGGCCUCAUCCCAGGGUUCCUGAUACACGACGGUUCCCUGUUCUGCGGCCUCAUUCGUGCAAGGCAGCUGAUAACUCGGUGGGAAUUGUGACAGUGAAAUAAAAGAGCCUGCAUGAAAUAGUGCCUGGCACGCAGCAGGGACCCAGUACCUACUACUUCCCUUCUCCUCCAGCCUGGGAGGAGCUGACGGCCUCCGUCUCAGUGAGAAGGUGGAAGAAAAUGAAGACGGCAGCAGAGAAAGAUUAUCAAGUUCUUACACCCAACUUUUGCAAAGUUAAAUAUAUCACCCAUUUCAAUCUUCA